rnacentral:tRNA from 1 species
UGCGGAAUGGAGGAGCGGUUUCCUUGCCAGCCUCAUAAGCUGGAGAUCGUGGGUUCAAAUCCCACUUCCGCAACCA